GGCACUGUGGCGGAGUGGUUAACGCGACAGAUUCGAAUUGUACAAUCUGUUCCACUUUGUGGGCGCAUGUUCGAGUCAUGCCAGUGUCG